AGGAAAUAGAUACCCUGGUAGUCCAUGCCGUAAACGUUGGGCGCUAGGUGUGGGGACCAUUCCACGGUUUCUGUGCCGCAGCUAAACGCAUUAAGCGCCCCGCCUGGGGAGUACGGCCGCAAGGCUAAAACUCAAAGGAAUUGACGGGGCCCGACACAAGCGGCGGAGCAUGUGGAUUAAUUCGAUGCAACGCGAAGAACCUUACCUGGGUUUGACAUGCACAGGAUUGCGGCAGAGAUGUCGUUUCCCUUGUGGCCUGUGUGCAGGUGGUGCAUGGCUGUCGUCAGCUCGUGUCGUGAGAUGUUGGGUUAAAGUUCCCGNAACGAGCGCAACCCUUGUUCCAUGUUGCCAGGCACGU
rnacentral:rRNA from 1 species